UUACGGCUAUGUCACGUUGAAACACCGGUUCUCGUACGAUGACCGAAGUUAAGCAAAGUCAAACCUGGCCAGUACCUAGAUGGGUGACCGCUUGGGAAUACCAAAUAUUGUAAG